rnacentral:rRNA from 1 species
UACGUAGGGGGCAAGCGUUGUUCGGAAUUACUGGGCGUAAAGGGCGCGUAGGCGGCCGAUCAAGUCAGGCGUGAAAUUCCCGGGCUCAACCUGGGGGCUGCGCUUGAUACUGAUUGGCUUGAAUGCGGGAGAGGAUAGUGGAAUUCCCAGUGUAGAGGUGAAAUUCGUAGAUAUUGGGAAGAACACCGGUGGCGAAGGCGGCUAUCUGGCCCGUAAUUGACGCUGAGGCGCGAAAGCGUGGGGAGCAAACAGG